AUUGAACGCUGGCGGCAGGCUUAACACAUGCAAGUCGAGCGAGCGGCGGACGGGUGAGUAAUGUCUGGGAAACUGCCUGAUGGCGGGGGAUACCUACUGGAAACGGUAGCUAAUACCGCAUACCAUCAGCUGUGCCCAGAGGGGAUUAGCUAGUAGGUGGGGUAAUGGCUCACCUAGGCGACGAUCCCUAGCUGGUCUGAGAGGAUGACCAGCCACACUGGAACUGAGACACGGUCCAGACUCCUACGGGAGGCAGCAGUGGGGAAUAUUGCGCAAUGGGCGCAAGCCUGACGCAGCCAUGCCGCGUGUGUGAAGAAGGCCUUCGGGUUGUAAAGCACUUUUAGCGAGGAGGCGGUACUUGCAGAAGAAGCACCGGCUAACUACGUGCCAGCAGCCGCGGUAAUUC
rnacentral:rRNA from 1 species